rfam:Lobosporangium transversale strain NRRL 3116 BCR41scaffold_3, whole genome shotgun sequence.
GCCCGGCUAGCUCAAUCGGUAGAGCAUCAGACUUCUAAUCUGAAGGUUGCGGGUUCGAUCCCCGCGUUGGGCU